UACGUAGGGCGCAAGCGUUGUCCGGAAUUAUUGGGCGUAAAGAGCUCGUAGGCGGUUUGUCGCGUCUGCUGUGAAAACCUAAGGCUCAACCUUGGGCUUGCAGUGGGUACGGGCAGACUAGAGUGCGGUAGGGGUGACUGGAAUUCCUGGUGUAGCGGUGAAAUGCGCAGAUAUCAGGAGGAACACCGAUGGCGAAGGCAGGUCUCUGGGCCGAUACUGACGCUGGAGGAGCGGAAAAGCGUGGGGAGCGAACAGG
rnacentral:rRNA from 1 species